rnacentral:rRNA from 1 species
AUUGAACGCUGGCGGCAUGCCUUACACAUGCAAGUCGAACGGCAGCACGGGAGCUUGCUCCUGGUGGCGAGUGGCGAACGGGUGAGUAAUACAUCGGAACGUACCCAGGAGUGGGGGAUAACGUAGCGAAAGUUACGCUAAUACCGCAUAUUCUGUGAGCAGGAAAGCGGGGGAUCGCAAGACCUCGCGCUCUUGGAGCGGCCGAUGUCGGAUUAGCUAGUUGGUGAGGUAAAAGCUCACAAAGGCGACGAUCCGUAGCAGGUCUGAGAGGAUGAUCUGCCACACUGGGACUGAGACACGGCCCAGACUCCUACGGGAGGCAGCAGUGGGGAAUUUUGGACAAUGGGGGCAACCCUGAUCCAGCCAUGCCGCGUGAGUGAAGAAGGCCUUCGGGUUGUAAAGCUCUUUCGGCGGGGAAGAAAUGGCAACGGCUAAUAUCCGUUGUUGAUGACGGUACCCGCAUAAGAAGCACCAGCUAACUACGUGCCAGCCGCCGCAGUAA